GGGAACCUCACCAGGCCCGGACACCGGAAGGAUUGACAGAUUGAGAGCUCUUUCUCGAUUCGGUGGGUGGUGGUGCAUGGCCGUUCUUAGUUGGUGGAGUGAUUUGUCUGGUUAAUUCCGAUAACGAACGAGACUCUGUCCUGCUAAAUAGUGUCAGCCUCUCUUCUGGGCUGACAAUUCUUCUUAGAGGGACUGGCGGCUCCUAGCCGCACGAGAUAGAGCAAUAA
rnacentral:rRNA from 1 species